rnacentral:rRNA from 1 species
UAGGGAAUAUUGGUCAAUGGGCGAGAGCCUGAACCAGCCAUGCCGCGUGCAGGAAGACGGCCUUCUGGGUUGUAAACUGCUUUUAUACAGGAUUAAAAGGGUGCUGCGGCACCGAUUGCACGUACUGUAUGAAUAAGCACCGGCUAACUCCGUGCCAGCAGCCGCGGUAAUACGGAGGGUGCAAGCGUUGUCCGGAUUUAUUGGGUUUAAAGGGUGCGUAGGCGGUUAUUUAAGUCAGUGGUGAAAACCCUGAGCUCAACUGAGGGCUUGCCAUUGAUACUGGAUAACUUGAUUACCGUAUAGGUAGGCGGAAUUUAUGGUGUAGCGGUGAAAUGCAUAGAUACCAUAAAGAACACCGAUAGCGAAGGCAGCUUACUGGACGUGUAAUGACGCUGAUGCACGAAAGCGUGGGUAGCGAACGGGAUUAGAUACCCCCGUAGUCC